UAAAAAGCACUUAAGUUUCCAGCGAUUCAUUCCUGCAUUACAUAGCCUAGGAAGGGACUUCAAAAGGAUACUUCCACCUGCUCAACUCUUGUAAGCUUGCUAAUACUUGAAAUGAUUAUUUUUGGGAAACAAACGCGUAAUGUUGGCGAACACUCUUCAAUUCGGAUUGUACGCAGUAGUUUUGAAAAUGUGGAGCAAAAGACGGGUGAAAUUGAAGUGAGAUAUCCUGCAUUAAAAAAAGGAAUUCGACUUAUUUUUGCUGCUUUUCAAGAAACUUGUUUUUCUUUUUCGUCCGUAUCUACGCAGUUCAGAUUUAAAAUUUUUGAAUUACAUUUCGGAAAAGAAACAAAAAACGAGAUUCGGCUUCCAGAGAUCAAUUCGACGAAAUGUUCGUGACCCUAAAAGGUUUCUGGAAAAGGCCCUGCAUAUUCAACAAAAAAAAAGGUGUUGGCCUGUUGGCAUGCAGUGCAUUAUUCACAGUCUAUUCUUGACGUAUGUAGGAUGAAGAGCUCUCUCAUUUUCCUGAUGUUUCUACUGCUAGGCAUUCACGCCGUUAUUGUAAAUGGAGCACGUCGUUAUCAUCCUAUUCAAAGCGGGUCAUCUCUUGAUCAGUAUCCCCGCCAGCAAAACCAGCAUUACAACGUCUACGAAGACUACAGUAAUCACUAUCAUGAUUAUUAUCCCUUCCCAAUUACGUUUGUCUACGGAGCCAUAGGCCAUGCUAGAGGCUAACAGCUGUUUCCAGAAGUUUGCAAAGACUUGAUCUUCUACAACGUAAGAUGUUUACGAGUUGUAGUAUGAAAACGUAGCAAUAUAUACAGUUACACAAAUUCUUAUGUCAAGUUAGAUAGUAUGUAAGGAAUCUUGCAUGUCGUCAUCUAAUUGGCCUGAUUGUUAAAUUACGGUCCUGUUAAGGAAAAACAAACUGGGUGACACUUACGUCGCAUUUUAUUGUUGAGAUCUCUAAACCAGUUUUCUGGGAAGAAGUUGUGAUGAAAAUGAAAGAUUCAUCCAUCUUCGGUUCCAACUUGAUAUGGCGAGAAGAAGAAAAAAACCUGAUUUUAAAUAGGAAGUUUGUUUGCUUUUCAAGCUCACAGUAAAGACAAAUAAUUCCGUCGAGUUAAAUAGCAGUUGACUCAUAGUUCGAUUUGCACAGUCUGCAGUCAACUAAUCCGGGAUGAAGAGCUUCAUAACAUUGAUGCUGACGUUUGUUCUGGUGGUCGCUGUUGUGGCCGACAACCCAUAUUCUGUACGGUAUCCUUCGAGUGGAGCUCCUCUUUACCAGUUUCGAUUUCAGCCAGUAUCAGGAUACGCGUCAUACGUCUAUCUCCCCACGUCUUCUAAUCCAUCUUCGUACGGCGGUAGGCGAAACGGAUAUUAUCAGCAAAAGUCCAUUCCACAUGUUUACAAAAGACAACAAUAUUAAGCAAAACAAUUAAAGUAAUUUAGAUAUCGUCAAUGUUCAUCGUUAUUAAAUUGACGAUGUAGUUCUGUUAUCGUAGAAGCUACGAGUUGUUUCGUUUCUGAUUAUAAUUUACGUAUCUAUUUAAUCACCUUGGUGGUCUUUCUCAAUGUGCUUCCCACUUCCCGUUGUACGCUCAACGUGAAAAUUGUGUGGUAAAAAUGGUUUGGUGGUUAAUCAUUCGGCCAUCGAACCCAGUGGAUUUCGUCAUUGUGCAAACAAUGUUCGCCAUCGUACAACCAGUUUGUCUGCAUUCCUCGACCUGAUGCCUCUAGCUAACAAAAAUCGGUCAGAACAUAAACAAAUAUUUGAAUCCCAUGAACAUGUUUAGAGUUUUCCAAGCAUGGCAAUCGCUGUAAAGAAUCCAGUUGUAAUGCCAACGAAUCAAGUUGCUGCGUCUAAAAUGUAUAUCGGUCGUAGGGUGUGGCUAUUGAAACAGUCUUUGUUUAAUUGCCCGGGAAAGUCUAGAAAAGACUAGGCUAGCAGUAUUCAUCAAGAACAUUGUGGUUAGUGCAGACGUCUGCUUGAUAUUCUGAAAAGAACUUAAAAAGAUGAAAACAUUUUCUUCCCUUGUUUUCGUGUUGUUUCUGUUUUUGAGUGCCUUUAUGGUUGACAAGGCAGUUUCCAUUGGAUUUCGUCUAUUGUCUCCACAUGGUCGUAAUCAGCAACGUCACCAGUCUGGCAACUAUCCAUCUGCAUAUUACAGGGCUGGGCGAGACCAGUUUGAGCAAGACUCUGUGGCUUCACAACAAGAUAUGUUAGAAUAAUACACCAAUGUUUUGAAUUUACGAAAAAUAGUAGUGUUUGCUUUGUAUCUGAAUUGCACAGGCUUCCGAAUUUGCUUCUCAAAGAGUUUUAAUCGUAAAUUUUCCUUUUCCCCACGAGCAAGGGCGUGAAUUUAAAGUUCAAUUU